rnacentral:lncRNA from 10 species
CUCCUAACAGGGCCAGUGCACGGGUGCUUGGUAUUUGGUCACUGGUCUCCAGCCCAGCCGUCGUGGGAGGAUCUUGUGAGGGGCUCUGCCGUGCAGAUGUCUCACCGGGUCCCUAGGGAGCUAGAAGUUGGCUUGUAAUUCUUUGCACUGGAACCUGACUCCAUUUUGUAUGUAAACAUCAAGAAUUUUUUGCAUGGCUUUAGCGUACACUGAAUGUUCC